rnacentral:lncRNA from 1 species
AUAGGUAUUUGCCCAUCCCUAAUCAUCAUAUAUAUAUCAUAGGUUGAUAAAAUACAUUUAACCUAUAAUAAAGAUAUAUAUGUACAAAGAUGAAUAAAAAUUCGUCUACCUAUCAUUCAUGAAAAAUAGGUCAAAAUUUUUUAAUCGUUGAUGCAUUAUAAAUGCAUACUAGUAUUUAUGCUGAUAUAUCUUCAUCAAAAAAAACAAAUAUAUAUAGUAUCUACAAGACCACAACAUAGAUUAGUUAACACAGAUAAUAUGUGAUGGAGUAGAAGAAAAAAAUGAGAUACAAAUUAGGUGCAAGAAAAAGGGGGAACAAUAUUUAAUUAUUAUAUUUAACUGUUAGCAAUGAAGGUAAUAUUGAAUUAAUAUAAAAGAUAAACCUAUAAAUAAAGAAUGACAACAACAACAAAGCUUUUUCCCACUAAGUGGAGUCGGCUAUGUGAAUCCUAGAACGCCAUUGCGCUUUCGUUCUUGAUUCAUUUUCAUAAGGAUUCGACAUAAACUAGGAGUGCCGGCUGUCGACUACCUGACACCCUCCCCCUCCUCCUUUAUCCGGGCUUGGGACUGGCAAUGUUAGAUAAACUUACACAGACGGAGUUACAAAUAAAGAAUGACAUUUAUCACAAUUUUUUAUAAUAAAAAAAAUUGAUGUGGAUGAUCAGUAAAUGUGCCUAACUCAACAAAAUAGACUAAACCUAAUAAUGACUCACAAAAUUGGAGUUAAAUUAAGUUACUCAUGAUUUUUAAUUGUCCCUUCUGCGUGCAAAGGAAUCAUUUAACUAGUCCUAAUUCAAAAUUAGUAUCGAAUUCGCAGGAAAGUGCCUACAAAUUGUAGUUCUAUAAUGUUAUUAUUUGCUUGUGUGUGCAUUUGAUAUAAAUUGUGUUUACUUACUUAGAGCAACUCCAGCCAUGGAGCCUUCCCCCCUGGCAAUCCACUAUUGAAUCCACCAUUUUGAACAGUAACUGCCUCAAAU